rnacentral:rRNA from 1 species
GACGAACGCUGGCGGCGUGCUUAACACAUGCAAGUCGAACGCUGAAGCUCAGCUUUUGUUGGGUGGAUGAGUGGCGAACGGGUGAGUAACACGUGAGUAACCUGCCCCCUUCUUUGGGAUAACGCCCGGAAACGGGUGCUAAUACUGGAUAUUCACUGGUCUUCGCAUGGGGGUUGGUGGAAAGGGUUUUUCUGGUGGGGGAUGGGCUCGCGGCCUAUCAGCUUGUUGGUGGGGUGAUGGCCUACCAAGGCUUUGACGGGUAGCCGGCCUGAGAGGGUGACCGGUCACAUUGGGAGUGAGAUACGGCCCAGACUCCUACGGGAGGCAGCAGUGGGGAAUAUUGCACAAUGGGGGCAAGCCUGAUGCAGCGACGCCGCGUGAGGGAUGGAGGCGUUCGGGUUGUGAACCUCUUUCGCUCAUGGUCAAGCCGCAACAAUGGUUGUGGUGAGGGUAGUGGGUAAAGAAGCGCCGGCUAACUACGUG